rnacentral:rRNA from 1 species
UGACAGAAAUUGCGAGCAAGUGUUUUGAUGUAUAUUU